AGUGAACGCUGGCGGUAGGCCUAACACAUGCAAGUCGAACGGCAGCACAGUAAGAGCUUCCUCUUACGGGUGGCGAGUGGCGGACGGGUGAGGAAUACAUCGGAAUCUACUUUUUCGUGGGGGAUAACGUAGGGAAACUUACGCUAAUACCGCAUACGACCUACGGGUGACAGCGGGGGAUCUUCGGACCUUGCGCGAUUGAAUGAGCCGAUGUCGGAUUAGCUAGUUGGCGGGGUAAAGGCCCACCAAGGCGACGAUCCGUAGCUGGUCUGAGAGGAUGAUCAGCCACACUGGAACUGAGACACGGUCCAGACUCCUACGGGAGGCAGCAGUGGGGAAUAUUGGACAAUGGGCGCAAGCCUGAUCCAGCCAUACCGCGUGGGUGAAGAAGGCCUUCGGGUUGUAAAGCCCUUUUGUUGGGAAAGAAAAGCAGCAGGUUAAUACCCCGCUGUUCUGACGGUACCCAAAGAAUAAGCACCGGCUAACUUCGUG
rnacentral:rRNA from 1 species